AGUAUCUGGGCUCAGGCGGGACCACC
rnacentral:rRNA from 1 species